AGUCCAACGGUUACCCUAUGGCACCCCCGAUAGAAAAUAUAGGGGAGAGAGAGGCAAAAAGAUGUCUCCAGCAGCUCCCCUACCGACGCCCCUAGCAAUCCGCCUCCCCUACCCAAUCCCGCUUCUCCCCCUACACAUCGGGGCGGUGGAGGCUUCCCCUAUCGGCCGGCCCGACCAAUCGGUGGCUCCCGGAAGCCUCCUCCCGCCACCACUCUUCCGAGCAGCGCAUGUCCCUCCUAUGUAUUUAACCGACCACCCUUCCGGCGGAAGAACUACGGUCGCAAGCGCAAUAUUAUCUUCUCCCGUGCAAGAAGUAAUUGUGAGACCAUCUCAGAGGAGCAUCCAUAUCUAACACUCACGGGUCCGACCCGUGCUAUUGUGACAUGUAUCGACCCUGGGAACAUCGAGAUCACGCUCAAAGUCAAGGGCGCAACUGAAUCCGACGAUGUAGACCUAAGUUUCAUAGUUUUAACAUUGAAAAGCAGUAUGUAUAUUUCUUAUCACGAAGAUUACCCUAGCAAGCGUAGCACGCUCAAGUUAGAAUUCCACCACAUUGGAGGCAACAAUUUGCGUGAGGCUCGAUGUUGGAUCAUCGUUGGCACCAAUUGGUUUUCAAGGUGUAUUCACCGCAAGUACCGCCAGCAUAGAUGAUGUUUGAAGUUAUGUUGCUUGAUUUCAGGGAGGGUAAAUUCGAUGGCACGAUCAAUCUUUCACGGCAUGUUGUUUCCGUUAGUGAUGAUGGAAAUGAACAGUUGAAGGUUUCUAUUAUGGCACUUUGUGAGGUAGGGGAUGAACGAGUUUCUACAAGAGAUGAUGUAGUAUUCACUCCAAAGAAAUAUGUGGGAGAAGUUGUGGUGUGCUUA